rnacentral:misc_RNA from 1 species
UAGUGGAAUCCCAAUUGUAUAGGUCAUGGGCCCGUUGUUUGAGAGUCCGCAGAAUGAAUUUACACGACGAUCAGCUUUACUACAGUGGCCAUCUGAAACGAAUCUCCCAAAUCAAGUACUAAUGUCAUUGUCAAUACAACGCUAAAGUCUUCUGGUACAUAUCUUUUUUACACAACUUUAAUUGCCUGGUAUUAAAGGCUUAAUCUUUCAAAGGAGAAUUGUGUUGGACACACGUGGAGGAUCAUGAACACAUGACAUGGUUGUUUGUACUUGCUUACAUGGUGCAUUGAAUACGUUAAAUGUCUUUUGUACAUAAGUUUCAUAAAACAAAAUUCUCUGAUAUGUCAAUGUUAUGUUUUUGUUAUAUUUUGUAAUAAAACCAUUUUCUAUUCUUC